AACGAACGCUGGCGGCAUGCCUAACACAUGCAAGUCGAACGAGACCUUCGGGUCUAGUGGCGCACGGGUGCGUAACGCGUGGGAACCUGCCCUUAGGUUCGGAAUAACUCCCCGAAAGGGGUGCUAAUACCGGAUAAUGUCUUCGGACCAAAGAUUUAUCGCCUUUGGAUGGGCCCGCGUUGGAUUAGCUAGUUGGUAGGGUAAAAGCCUACCAAGGAGACGAUGCAUAGCUGGUCUGAGAGGAGGACCAGCCACACUGGGACUGAGACACGGCCCAGACUCCUACGGGAGGCAGCAGUGGGGAAUAUUGGACAAUGGGCGAAAGCCUGAUCCAGCAAUGCCGCGUGAGUGAUGAAGGCCUUAGGGUUGUAAAGCUCUUUUAGCCGGGAUGAUAAUGACAGUACCGGGAGAAUAAGCUCCGGCUAACUCCGUG
rnacentral:rRNA from 1 species